GAGGUAGCAGCGCGCAGAUAAUGAUUCUUUUGGGAGAUGAAUAGCCUCUUUUGCUCCUUCCACAAGGCUCUAUAUUCUGCUUCAGUAGUUGAUAGAGCAACGGUGGGUUGUUUCUUGCUGGCCGAAGAGGUGGCGCCCCCUGCCGGUGAGAAAGUGAACCCCCAGUGCUGCGACAUGAGUCUUUACAGGCAGCCCAGUCUGCAUCCGUGAAACCUUCAAAUUGAGUGAUAGGCUGGCUGUGAGUGAAACCAAUAGGAGAAUAUGCUGCGUGAGGAUUUUUGGAGUGGACGAUGCCAAAAUCAAGGGUAUCCUUGAGGUACCUGAGGAUGUGUAUGACCGCAUUCCAAUGUCGCUCCUGUGUGUUAGCCAUGAAUCUACUAACAAAACUAACUGAACAGGCAAGGUCAGGUCGAGUAUCCAUGAGAUAAAGUGAUUAGCCUACCGAAUGGCAGUAGGUCAAUUGAUCAAAUGAAAGAGAUUCAGAAUCAAGCGCCAAAGAUGAAUUUUUCAGGUAGAGGAGUAGAAGCAUGCCCACAAUCUUCGAGCUGAGCUUCAGAUAGGAUCUGCCGAGAAUAAAGCUGUUGAUGGAUCAUAAUUCCAGAUUUCAGCAUAAGAAAUUCAAACCCAAGGGACCGUUUGAUGAGUUCUAAGGUUUUCAUUUCACAUUACAAAUAGAAUUAAGCCGUAAUAACAACAAUUUUUGAGUCAAAAUUGCUUGUCAGUUGCAGGUCGUCAACAUAGAGAAGGACAACAACAAUAUCAGAGCGGUUCCGCAAAUAGUAGAGGUUAUAAUCAACAAUGCUGCGAGACCAAUUUUGAGCUAGUAUAUACAAAUUGAUUUUAGCGUACCAAGCUCUGGGGCUUAGUUUUAGCCCAUAAAUUGAGCCGUUCAAUUUGCACACUAGGUUUUCUUUCCGAGGUGAAAUGAAUUCGUCAGGUUGCUGCACACAGAUGGAUUCCUCUAGUUUUCCAUUGAGAAAUGCCCUUACUACAUCAAGAUGCACAAUGUUCCAUUCAAAACAAGCUGCCCAUGAGAUGGCUGUUUGCAGCGUAGACCAUCUCACUACAAAUGCAAAAGUUUCAGAAUAGUCAAGUCUAGGCUUAUGUUCAAAGCCCCUGGCUACUAGUCGAGUUUUAAGAUGUCGUUAGAGAGGAUGCAAGUCGAGUUUCACCAGGAGGACCCAGCAACUAGAUGAAGCUUUCCGUCCUAGGAGCAAAGGAACUAAUUUCCAAGUUUUAUUUUUAUUGAGAGAAUGUAGUUUCUGAAUAAUUGUAUCUCUCCAAUGAGGGUGCAAUGAAUAAUUGUAUCUCUCCAAUUGUAUCUCUCCAAUGAGGAGUGCAUCUUAAAAUGAUACAUUGUCUUUGAAGCUUUCCAGGAUAUCCUCAGAACAUGCUGAAGAAUUGGAAGCACUGAGAUACAAAUAAUAGUCUUUGUAUAUGGAUGGUAAUCCUAAUGUAUAAUAAGGACUGAGCUAUGGUGGUGAAACCGGAGACGAGUGGAAGUGACCCUUGAGGUGAAAUUGGUGGAGACUAGUUGUAGAAGUUGUCAGUAAGUGCAUGCGGACCUGGUGAUAAAAUAGUUGGCACAAUGUUAGUCUUGGCCUGGUCCUGAGCAAUAGAAGGUAGUAAAACUUAAGAAGGUGUUGAUUUGUGACAAAAAACCUAGUUAGUGUAGGCAUUUGUCAGAAGAAGGGAAAAGAUAAUAAAUGGCACAGGAGUGUGAAUGUUGUUUGGAUAUUUCUUAAAAAUGACACAUCUCAAUUAAUUAACAUUUUCCUUAUGAAGUUAUAAUACACAUAUGCUUUAAAAAUCUCAUCAUUGGCAAUUAUAAUAGAAAGAAUGAAUUUGAAUUUAAGCUUAGUUUGUCAUUUUUUUAGAUAUAUGGAAAAAGAUUUGUUAUCCAAUGAUAGCUAGAUGUCUAAUAUUUGGUUUUGAUUUGUAAA
rnacentral:lncRNA from 1 species